rnacentral:rRNA from 1 species
GACGAACGCUGGCGGCGUGCUUAACACAUGCAAGUCGAACGGAAAGGCCCUGCUUUUGUGGGGUGCUCGAGUGGCGAACGGGUGAGUAACACGUGAGUAACCUGCCCUUGACUUUGGGAUAACUUCAGGAAACUGGGGCUAAUACCGGAUAGGAGCUCCUGCUGCAUGGUGGGGGUUGGAAAGUUUCGGCGGUUGGGGAUGGACUCGCGGCUUAUCAGCUUGUUGGUGGGGUAGUGGCUUACCAAGGCUUUGACGGGUAGCCGGCCUGAGGGGGUGACCGGCCACAUUGGGACUGAGAUACGGCCCAGACUCCUACGGGACGCAGCAGUGGGGAAUAUUGCACAAGGGGCGGAAGCCUGAUGCAGCCACGCCGCGUGCGGGAUGACGGCCUUCGGGUUGUAUACCGCUUUCGCCUGUGACGAAGCGUGAGUGACGGUAAUGGGUAAAGAAGCACCGGCUAACUACGUG